UCUCUAUAUAUAUCUAGAGAAGUGAUGCCAGAGAUGCUGUGCCUAAAUACUUCGAUGCAGCCAAGAAUUUGAUUGCAGUGAUGACUGGUCUAGACUGAUGCCAAGGCAGCAGGAGGGUCUUUUCUUCCCCACCAGCUCAGAGUAGAAGAAAGCUGAACAGAGAAGAAUGAGCAUUUGACCCUUCGAGUCUUCAUCCAGUCUUCAGAAAACUAGCAGUCAAAACCUCCCUUCAGCCACAGCAGUGGCUUCACUAUACGAUGUGCUGGUUGAUGCUGAGGCUGAGUGUGCUCUCCCUGCGGUCUCUCUCAUUCAUCCGAGCUCAUGGUCUGAGGCCGGUGUACAUGCACAGCUCUGCACUGCAUCUCUGUGACAGUGUCAGUGGGACAGUUCUGGCUGCCAAAAGAGUGCUGCUGGGUCUAUGGCUACAGAGGAAUAGACAAGCAAGCAUGCAGGGAAUUUAAGUCCUUUUAAAAUAAAUUAAAAACAACAACAACAAAAACACAUUAAUAUUGAAAUAAA